rnacentral:misc_RNA from 1 species
GAGUAGUCAUACCCCAUGAGAUUGACUUUCAGAUGGAUGCUAAGCUGAAUAAAAAGCUCAUACAUCUGUCCAAUAUCAGCAGCGUUUCCGUGCGAGUAAAGUAAAGUGGUAGUAGCCAUAGGGUACCGAAUAUAAAUUGCGAGGAUCUCGUUUCCCCUUCGAGUAGGAAGCUUCAAAACGUCAACAUUUUCCCGGUGAGGAAAAGUAUCAAGCAGCAACAAACCAGUAAGUUGAUCAGUAACCACCCUGUAUGAAGGCGGAUUAGGUGGGAAGAAAGCCAACUUGGCCGCCAUGGAGGAGGUUACCCCACCCAUAUUUAGGAGUAGAAGAAGAAGU